UGAGGAAUUUUGCGCAAUGGGGGCAACCCUGACGCAGCAACGCCGCGUGAGUGAAGAAGGCUUUCGGGUCGUAAAGCUCUGUCGAAGCGGGAAGAAAGUGGGCUAUUUGAACAGGAUAGUCUAUUGACGGUACCGCAGAAGGAAGCACCGGCUAACUCCGUGCCAGCAGCCGCGGUAAUACGGGGGGUGCAAGCGUUAUUCGGAAUUAUUGGGCGUAAAGGGCGCGUAGGCGGUUGAAUAAGUCAGAUGUGAAAGCCCUUGGCUUAACCAAGGAAGUGCAUUUGAUACUAUUUGACUUGAGUAUGGGAGAGGGAAGUGGAAUUCCUGGUGUAGAGGUGAAAUUCGUAGAUAUCAGGAGGAACACCGGUGGCGAAAGCGACUUCCUGGACCAAUACUGACGCUGAGGCGCGAAGGCGUGGGGAGCAAACG
rnacentral:rRNA from 1 species